GGAGAGAUGUCCGAGGGGUCGAAGGAGCACGACUGGAAAUCGUGUGUGCGCCAAAAACGCACCGUGGGUUCAAAUCCCACUCUCUCCGCCA
rnacentral:tRNA from 1 species